ensembl:lncRNA novel transcript
AUUAGAUCCAACUCAGCCAUCUGGGAGGCUCUGCUCCUAGGCUGUCUUUCUUCUGUCCCUUGGCCCAGGAUCUGUGCAGCCCAAGUCAGACAAGAGAACCACGCCUAGAUGAUUGCAGCUGCUGCAAGAUUUUAACUGUUUCCUCCCUCCCAGAGGAAGCUCGGCCACUCAUUACUGUGUGCUGGCGCUGGAUGGCAGCCAGAUGCGAUGACGACAAGGCAGCUAGAGUACUCAGGCUCAGGACAGCCGGCUCAGGCUCAGGCUGCCUCCCCAGGUCCAGCCCUGAAACUUCUAUUCUUAUGUGAAUCAUCUGAACCCCAUAGGCUCUGCUGAAGACCACGUGUCUCUGUGCCUGCUCUGGAAAGGACAGAAGAUUCCUGAGCUCUGUUAUAAGCCUGUGUGGCUUUGUGUGGUCUGACAAGCGACAUUUUUUUUUGUUUUCAUUUUUAAAGAGAAGUAAAAUGUAAGGACUUCAACACCAGGACAGCCAUUCAUCUACUCCCAUCUCAUAGAACUGGACAUGAGGAAUUAAAAGAAAUUAAAGAACGUGUAAGCAAAAAUUCAUUGUAUG